AUGAAGGCGAUGAUGCUUUGAACUACCUAUUUUAUGAGGGAAUAUAUAACAUUCCCUUGUGAUUACAAAUCUACCAAUGGAUCCUUCUGAGCCUUACA
rfam:Lupinus angustifolius cultivar Tanjil chromosome LG20, whole genome shotgun sequence.